GAUGAACGCUGGCGGCGUGCCUAAUACAUGCAAGUCGAGCGAACAGACGCGGAGCUUGAUCCUCUGACGUACGCGGCGGACGGGUGCGUAACACGUGGAUAACCUACCUAUAAGACUGGGAUAACUUCGGGAAACCGGAGCUAAUACCGGAUAAUAUAUUGAACAGCAUGGUUCAAUAGUCAAAGACGGUUUUGCUGUCACUUCUAGAUGGAUCCGCGCCGCAUUAACUAGUUGGUACGGUAACGGCUUACAAAGGCAACGAGUAGUAGCCGACCUGAGAGAGGGAGCGGCCACGGUGGAAUGAGGACACUGACCAACCUGCGACGGGAGACAGCAGUAGGGAAUCUACGGGAGUGGGCAGAAGCCUAACGUAGCAACGCCGCGUGAGUGAGGAGGGUCUUCGGAUCGUAAAACAUGGUGAUUAGGGAGGAACAAAUGUGUAAUAAACUAGACACGUCUUGACGGUACCUUAUCAGAAAGACGCGGCUAACUACGUG
rnacentral:rRNA from 1 species